AGUCGGAUGCUUAACUGACUGAGCCACCCAGGUGCCCCAAGGGCUAGGUCUUCUCCGGAGAUCCUAAGCUCUCUCUCACCAAAGUGUCCAAGACAAGGCACACAUGCCACGUUCUUGGAUGUUACAAAGGGAAUUCAAGGCACUAUGGACAAGCACUGACUUCUGAUUCGCAUUUCAGAUCUCUUAUUCUCGGCAUCUCCAAGCUUUUGGUUCUCCAACUCACACGCCUUAUGUCUACAUAACCGAAGCUUAACUUCACAGAACUAUGGGCGGUGGCAGGGAGGCAGGCUGAUCUAGAAGUUAAAGUGUCUGACUUUGGAAACACACCUUGCGGCAACAGUAAGGAAAUUGCAUCACUCCUCUUGGGUUUUCUUUGCUUAGGUUGACAAGAGGCGAACAUGCUCUACUCUACCUCCCUGCCCCCACCCGUCCUAUCCAGGUAAGGUGGGAGAACGUUCUGGUAAUGAAGGGUUGGCUGACUACUGUGAUGAGUGUAGGUGUACAUGCUAGGGAGCAGGUCCACUAUGUGGAGGGAGAAGACAUCGAGUCUCCAUCCGAGAAAAGGCAGAAGGGAAGAAGAAGGAGCUGGGAAGCACGCUGACACAGGAAGAAGGAUUCUUCCAAAGCACUGAGUGGAGAACAGGAAGGAGCCAACGUGAGAGAGAGGACUCGCCUGAUGGGAAGGCAUCGAUCAAUUUUUGGGAGGUGGCCAUGUUCCACAUCGACCUUGGCAUCGGACGAAACAGAGAGACCAUCGGGGGCAAGCUGACUUCUGUGUUCCAUCUGUCAGAGGAAUAAAGUGGCCGGUAUCUCACCGGAUGCAGAGAGCAUCUAACACCCAGCAGGCCCUUGCAGAGCUCUCUGCUUGAGGCUGCCAGCCUCACAGGCUAUCAUGUCCUCCAAAGCGUCUUUGCUCCAAUAUGUGGGCCAAUUCUGGAUUAAACACCCUGGAAGACCUAACUUGAAUAGUUAGCAUAUGCCUGGGUUGGACUAUGAGAAAAAUAAUGGAUAGCAUAUAUAACAAGCACGUGCCGUGUUUCAGGACUGUCCUCAGACCUUCACGUGUAUGAAAUCAUUUCCACGCAGUUCCGUGAGGCAGGUGAGAGUCUUCUGUAGCUUUUUUUCUGCGCCAUUCUUGCUACCAAGUUUAUGCUGGCUUCAAAGGAUGAAGGAAGAAGGGUUUCACCUUUGCCUAUGUUCUGGAACAAAUUAUAUGGCAUUGGAAUGACCUCUUUGUUCCUUGUGAAAAACUGGCUUUGAAAUUGGGCUGCUGAAUCUUCCUCGGAGAUGAUGGUUUUGAAUAUCGUUCUCUAAGAAACUUGUUCUGUGUUAGCCCUCUGCUACCCCGGCCUAUCUGAUACUUCCCAGAAUAUUAACAUUUUUGUUGAGAUAUAAGUUAGGGGUGUGGGUUUGUCCAGUAGACUGUGUAUUUUUUAAAUAGUCUCAUGCAAACCGUGUAGCUGAAAGUUAGGAUCCAGAAUAUAUAAGGAACUCCUACACCUCACCAGCAUAAAGCCCAACCCAAUUAAAAAAUGGGCAGAAGAACUGAAUAGGCAGUUCUCCAGGGAAGGCAUUCAAAUGGCCAAUGGGUACGUGAAAAGGCACUCAACAUCGCUAAUCUUCAGGGAACUGGAAAACAAAACCACAAUGUGAUAUCAUCUCACACCGAUGAGGACGACUAUGAUCCACAUGAGCAGAAGAAGAUAACAGGCACUGGGGAAAAUGUGGAGAAAAGGGACCCCUCAUGCACUGUUGGUGGGAAUGUAAAUUGGUGCAGCCACAGUAGAAAACAGUGCGGAGUUUUCUCAAAAUAUUAAAGAUAGAACUACUGUGCGAUCCAGCAAUCCCACUUUGGGGCAUAUAACCAAAGAAGUUGAAAUCAAGAUCUCAAAGAGAUAGCUGACUUUCCAUGUCCCGGCACCAUUAUUCACUAUAUCCAAGACAUGGCUGCAAUCGAAACGUCCAGCAGAGGGUGAAUGGAUAAAGAAUAUGUGAUGCUUACAUAUAUUGGAAUAUUAUUCAGCCUUAAGGAAAGAUACCACUUAACUGUGGAAUCUAAAAUAAUCAAACUCAUAAAAACAAAGAGUAGAAUGAAAGUGGCCAAGGGGUGGGGGAUGGGACCCAGGGGGUUGUUGGUCAAAGGGUACUAAGCUUCCGUUAUGCAAAAUUAAUAAGUCCAGAGAUGUACUGUAUAUAGUAUAUAUAAGUAUAGUGCCUUAUAUAUAGUAUAAGUAUAUACUAUAAGUAUACUUAUAUACUAUAUAUAUAUAAGAAUAGUGCCUAUAGUUCACAACACUACAUUGUAUACUUAAAUAUUUGCAGAGAGCAUAGAUCUUAUGUGCAGUGUUCUUAUCACACACACAUGCACACAAAUAACGGAGAGGGCUGAGGGAAACUUUUGGAGGCGAUGGGUUUAUGGCAUAGAUUUUGGUGGUGAUUUCAUGGAUGUAUAUUUCAAGUUCAUCAGGUUGUAUAAAUUAGAUACUUAUCAUUUUCUGUAUGUCAGUCAUUCCUUAAUAAAAUGAUUUUUA